rnacentral:rRNA from 1 species
UACCAGCACCCCGAGCGGUCGGGACGUUUAUUGGGCCUAAAGCCUCCGUAGCCGGUUCUACAAGUCUUCCGUUAAAUCCACCUGCUUAACAGAUGGGCUGCGGAAGAUACUAUAGAGCUAGGAGGCGGGAGAGGCAAGCGGUACUCGAUGGGUAGGGGUAAAAUCCGUUGAUCCAUUGAAGACCACCAGUGGCGAAGGCGGCUUGCCAGAACGCGCUCGACGGUGAGGGAUGAAAGCUGGGGGAGCAAACCGG